rnacentral:misc_RNA from 1 species
GUGAAUCAUCGAAUCUUUGAACGCAAAUUGUACUUUCCAGUAAUCUGGGAAGUAUGCUUGGUUGAGGGUCAUCGAAAUAACAUUCGUGAAUUUUUUUGCGGAUUUGAGUUUUCCAGUAUUAAUUAUAAUAAAUAUGAUAAAUGUUGGUGACUUUAAAAUUAUUUAUAACUUGGUACAAGUUGAAAACGUGCUAUAUGUGUGGUUCGCUGACAACUUGUCCAUCUCUAUAUACUAUGUGCGCACUUGGUUUUUACACUCUGUGCGAACAUAUAUUUUUUUUUUGACCUCAGCUCAAGCAAG